rnacentral:rRNA from 1 species
AUUGAACGCUGGCGGCAGGCUUAACACAUGCAAGUCGAGCGAGCGGCGGACGGGUGAGUAAUGCCUGGGAAACUGCCUGAUGGAGGGGGAUAAAUACUGGAAACGGUAGCUAAUAACGCAUACCAUCAGAUGUGCCCAGCUGGGAUUAGCGAGUAGGGGGGGUAAUGGCUCACCGAGGCGACGAUCCCUAGCUGGUCUGAGAGGAUGACCAGCCAAACUGGACCGGGGACCAGGUCCAGAUUCUUACGGGAGGCAGCAGUGGGGAAUAUUGCACAAUGGGCGCAAGCCUGAUGCAGCCAUGCCGCGUGUGGGAAGAAGGCCUUCGGGUUGUAAAGCACUUUCAGCGAGGAGGCGUUACUCGCAGAAGAAGCACCGGCUAACUCCGUGCCAGCAGCCGCGGUAAUUC